ensembl:lncRNA
CAACUCAACUCCAGUAUUCUUACCUGGAGAAUUCCGUGGACAGAGAAGCCUGGCGGGCUACAGCGCAUAGGCUCGCCAAGAAUCAGACACGACUGAAGUGUCUUAGCACAUAUACAACCAAGAGAUUUAUUUUACAACUAGCGAAGGGGGCUUCAUGGAACAAGGCAGAGUCUCAAAAUGUUGGCUUUGAAUUGAUAAAGCCUGUUUUAUUGAUGCUGUACAAGGAUAGUUCCUGUGCUCUAAAGAGCAUGGAGCUUGAUGCCUAAAGAUUGGUUGAAGGUUGGGGUUCAUAUCCUAACUCUACCAUUUAUUAACCUUAUUAUAGGUUAGCUUUCCCACCAAGCAGACACUGAGACCGGCUUUAAGCACAACAACUUCUGUGAAAAGUGAGACAGGUCAUGGAAGGAAACCGAUGUAAGCUCCGGUUAGCAGCCCUUAUAUAUGUGAUGUGGUCUGCUUAUAUGAGACACCUAUGGAAGCCGGAAACCUUUUCCUCCCACAUGGCAGCGCUGACCUAUGACCUGAUUUUAGAUCGCAGCGUGGGAGUGGUCAUCGCUGUGCGGGUCAGCGGCAUCGCUUUUUCGUCUUUAUUCGUGCAUAGCUGAUGUAUAACGCCAUAUGAGUUUCUGGUGUACAACAAGUGAUUCGGUUAUACAUACAUACAGACUCUUGCUCAUAUUCUUGCUUUUCCUUGAUGGUCUAUCACAGGAUACUGAAUAGAGUUCCCUGUGCUGGAUCUUAGGGUUCAGUUGUUUAUCCAUCCUGUGUAUAGUGGUUUGUAGCUGCUAAUCCCAAACUCCACUCCACCCGUCCCUACCCGCCUCGGCGGGUAGAGGAGUCUGUCCUCUCUGUCUGUGAAUCUGUUUCAUGGAUAAGUUGAUCCAUAUCCUAUUUUGGAUCCCAUGGGUAAGUGAUACCAUGUGGCAUUUGUCUUUCUCUGUGUGAUUACUUUGCUUGGUAUGACCAUUUCUAGGCCCAUCCAUGCUGCUGCAAGUGGCAUUGUUUCAUUCUUUUGUAUGGUGAGUCAGCAUCUUUUCACACUGACUUCAUGAAGACAGUUUGUGGCCAGUAGCAGAAAGUCGUGACACCCUGACACAGUCGCAGUGGCCAGCUGACCCAGGCAAGCCACAUACAGCCCAGAGCCCCGUCUUUUCAUCUUAAUAGGGAGGCGUUGGUACUGAAGGCUCAGGGAAGAGAAAGGAUCUGCCUGCCAAACAGGAGAUGCACGUUCGAUCCCUGGGUCGAGAAGAUCCCCUGGAGGAGGAAAUGGCAACCCACUCCAGUAUUCUUGCCUGGAGAAUCCCAUGGACAGAGGAGCCUGGCGGGCUACAGUCCAUGGGAUUGCAAAGAGCUGGGCGUGACUUAGCAGCUAAACGACAGCAUUGAUACUGAAUGGGGAGAACCAGGAGAAGAGAAUGUUUAUGAAAGAGUUCCAUAAAAAUGAAAAGUUUUAGUACUGUUCUUAUUACUCACUGCUGUGACCAGCUUGUCAUUCAAGCUUCCCCACUUCCAGCUGGGGUACAUGCCAGCCUCAAGGUGAUUGCUUUUUGAAUGAAGUACUUAGUUGGUUGUUUUUUUUUCCCCCACACACAAGGUACAUGCUAACAAUUAAAAACACAAUAUAGGCCAGUGUUCUCUUGAAAGCUAACGUCAUGGGAAAAAGUGAAAUCCUUCAACUGUAGAUGCCAGACACUUAGGAUGUCUUGGCAGUUGCUUGGCAUUGCAGUUUGCUUUCGAAAGCUUUUGCCAUUUAUAAGAACAAGGUAGCCUGAUAACCUUUGGUGUCCAAAAAUUCAAACUAAAUCAAAUAGACUCUGUGUAUUCCCAUGAAAUCUAAGAUUUUAUGGGAUAUGUGGGACAUUUCACCAUGAUAAAUGUGAUGUGCUGUUUCUUGUGACCUUUAGUUUUCUUUUUUUUAAAUGUAAUUUCAUGCAAUUUUAUUUACAUUUUAAAUUGGCGUGUAAUUGCUUUACAAUGUUGUGUUAAUUUCUGCUGUACUAUAUUGAGCAUCAGCUAUACAUAUGUACAUAUAUAUAUCCCUCCCUGAACAGGGUUGACCAGGGGAAUUGGGGCUGAGCUCUGAUCACCGUGGAAGGGUCCUGUUACCUUCUUGCCAUGGCAGAAUUUGUUACAGACCCAGGUAGUGGGUUUAGCCACCAAGUCGU